rnacentral:lncRNA from 1 species
UCAACAUCUUACUUUCAAAAUCUUAGCUUGCGGUCAUCAUCAUGAAUCAAUUCGACAAUCUACUUGCAAAUCCUUUUUAAUACUUGUCAUAUGAAGAGAAACAAUGAAGAUAAACUAUAGAUAAAAUGUAUCAGUGCUCAUCGGCCAUUGGACAUAAACAUUACAAAACUAUUGGAAAUCGCAAAUUCAACGAUGAGUGGUUUGGAAGGAAUCGGUUACAGUGGCUAACUGCAAGCACUGUAACUGGGACGUCGGGAAUAAACGAGCUCAGACUGGGAAAAUAUGUUUUAAACGGUCAUCCAAAUCCAACUAGGAAUUGUAAAUCCGUCCUCUUUCUCUUUCCUUGAUGACAAAAUGUGACCACAAAGGACUGCCGCGCCACCUUCCUGUUCAAGUGAGCACAUCACAACAAGCCAUUUCAACAGCCAUCACCAUGCAUACAUGGUUCAACACAGUCAACAAUGGAUUGCUAUACGGCCCGGUGGGUGAGGAGAUCGAUUUCCAUGGGAUAGAGGGAUACAGGGUCUCAGCGGGAAGAGUGUCCAUUUCACUCCACCACUGGAUUGCAAACCGUGAUCGUUUUGGACCACGUUGAUGGAGAGACGUUGAUGUCAUUGGACCAAAAAAU